AGUGAACGCUGGCGGUAGGCCUAACACAUGCAAGUCGAACGGCAGCACAGUAAGAGCUUGCUCUUACGGGUGGCGAGUGGCGGACGGGUGAGGAAUACAUCGUAAUCUACUUUUUCGUGGGGGAUAACGUAGGGAAACUUACGCUAAUACCGCAUACGACCUACGGGUGAAAGCAGUGGAUCUUCUGACCUUGCGCGAUUGAAUGAGCCGAUGUCGGAUUAGCUAGUUGGCGGGGUAAAGGCCCACCAAGGCGACGAUCCGUAGCUGGUCUGUGAGGAUGGUCAGCCACACUGGAACUGAGACACGGUCCAGACUCCUACGGGAGGCAGCAGUGGGGAAUAUUGGACAAUGGGCGCAAGCCUGAUCCAGCCAUACCGCGUGGGUGAAGAAGGCCUUCGGGUUGUAAAGCCCUUUUGUUGGGAAAGAAAAGCAGCAGGUUAAUACCCCGCUGUUCUGACGGUACCCAAAGAAUAAGCACCGGCUAACUUCGUG
rnacentral:rRNA from 1 species